CUGUCUUAAAGUUGGUUGAAGAUGAUAUUAGAGAGGUGGUGGUUAUUUGCUAUUAUCUCAAUAAUAGCUGUGGUAAACAUUUCUGUGUCAUCAGUCUUUUCCAGUAAAAUGUAUUUGAUGCGGAGUCAUGCUGGGGUUUUUUUUUUAUUGAUACGUUAGUUUUCAUUAUGCCUAAUACUGUCUGGAAUUGAAGGUGAUACAUAUUGUUUGGUGAAUUCGUGAGAGAGAGAAUUAUGGGUGGGUUGAUUUAAUCUUCAUGUUUGUAUGAGUGGUAUAGUUUAGUAUCCUUUAGUACAAUUUGUUCUAUGUGGAAUUAUGCUAUAUAGUAUUUUUUUCUUAAUAAUUAUUACUAUAUUUUUUAUGGACCUUUAUAACAACAUGAUCUUACAUUGUCGGUGAUUCAGUUUUGAUAACCGUUAACAUAGCUUGAAAGAAUUUUAGGGUUUAUUCCAAUUUUUAUUCAGUGUCUGAGUGACUCAAUGUAGUGUAAAUUGCAUGAUGUAGUAAUGGUUGAUAUAUUUCAUUCAGUCCAUAGCAUGAAUGCAGUUUAGCUGCUUAUGGGUAAUCUCAUGCUUUUGUACUAAAUGGAGUUCACUUGAAGUCAAAUGUAAGUCUGUCCUAUCCAAUUUGAAAUCCUCAUGAUACAAGCCUUUCCUUUGUAACCAGUGUUGUUUACCAAACACACACACACAGAGUUUAUAGUAAAUUUGUUUCUUUGGUAUGUAGAUUUUACCCUAGUACAUUGUUUAGGUGAAGCUUUUAUUAGAUGUACUCAUAGCAUGAAUCCACACAGCAUUUAUAUAUUAUUUAUUUGUUCAUUUAUUUCAGAAAAUAGCCUAGUUCCAGGUAAUGAAUUUGUAUUGUGAGCUUUAAACACUCCAUAAUACUUUGCGAUGCUUUAUAUGUUUUUAUUUCAGGUUGCAGUGUCAUUACUGCCAUAGACAAUUGAAUCGUUGCUUUGUACAUAAAAUGAUUACCAGAUUACAGAAAUAUUUUGAUGAAUAUUGAUAAUGUAGUCAGUCUGGCAUUUUUAGUGUUGUUAUACCAUGGCUUGUACUUUUUUUCAGGUUCCUCAAACAUAGCAGCACCAACCUCACCCAACCUAGCUCCUAACAUCCCCAGUCCAAGUAAUUCACAAGUUGUCUCAUCCUCUUCUUCCUCUUCCCCAAUCCCAUCCUCACCUGUAUCAUCUCCAACCCAUCCAUCUUCUCCACUACUGCCACCUCUUUCUCCUCCUCCCCCUCCCCCUCCACAGUCUGCUAAGAUAGAUAUCGGUGAUGGGGGUAUUGCAUUACCUCCUGUGUCUCCUUUAGCACCUUCACCACAUGCUUUUGGCUUUUCGUCAGAUCCCUCUUCUGUAGUUACUGCAGCAACGGCAGCUUUACCAAAGUCAUCUGCAUCACCUUCUGUUUCACCUCCACCUCUACCAUCAUCAUCUCCCCCACCCCUACUCUCAUUAUCUUCAAUGUCAUCAGAGGUUCUAACAUCAGUGAGUAAUAAAAUUGUAGCUCCUCUGUCUAGCAUAGCCCCAGGUUUUUCUACUGUAACCUCUACACAAACUCAAGAUUGUAAUCCUACUGCAUCCCCGUCUGGUCCGCCUCCACCUCUACCUCUAUCUGAUCCUCCUAUUUUGCUGGCCCCUUUGGAUGGUGAAGAAUUAGAGCCCCCUCACUCCCCAUUAGAUGUAUCUACACCUCUUACCAUGGACGGAAUGACUGCCUUACAUCUAGCAGCACAAGGGAACAACUGGCAUGUUCCCAAGUACAGUCCAGAUAAUGGGGCUAUGUUGUCAAGAUGGUUGCAACUUCUUACAUGCUGCUAUAAAAUCGGAUGAAGUGGAAUGUAUAGAGGUUUUGGUGCAACAUAUAUUAGCAACAGAAUUAGGACCAAAUCUGUUGCAUCGUCUUGCCGGAGAACCAGACCAUCGUGGAAACACCCCACUUUCUUUCUUUGGCUUUAUCAGCAACCAACUCUCAUAUGGUGGCUGCCCUGAGUCAUGCAGGCCUUGAUUUACCAGCCUUACUUAGUCACAACCCCAAGCUUCUAAGUGUGGCAUCACCUGCAGCGCUAGCUUUUAUAUCAAACACAGACAGGAAUGAAUGCACUUGCUCCGUUUGGCUGGAAGGUAUAGAUAUUGACAGGCUUGUUGAAGGGGAUCCAGGAACUAGGAGUAAUGGAGAUGAUGGCUUUAUCAAAGAAGAAGGGAAGAGUAAUUGUCUUUGGGCCAUAGGAGCUGUGCGUGUCACUCCUGCGACUCUGUGGGCGGCCUUAGAGGAAACGUUGACAUCCCUUGCUCGCCAUCACUGGGAAGCCUUAGCAAGGACUCAAGGUUAUGGGCAGAACUCAACUGGCAGUUGUCGUCGUAACGCUCAACCUCGGGGGGAGAGAAGGCGAUCAGACCCAUUGCAAGAAGUUGAAGUGAGCGCAUCAUUCCUGGGGCUUAACAAGUCUGCUAUCAGUCAUUUUUCAAUUGGGCACCACAAGUGGAGUAGAGUGAGUUGAACAAGAUGUAUUUUUAGAAAAAUA